rnacentral:rRNA from 1 species
AGGACGAACGCUGGCGGCGUGCUUAACACAUGCAAGUCGAGCGGAAAGGCCCUUCGGGGUACUCGAGCGGCGAACGGGUGAGUAACACGUGAGUAAUCUGCCCCUAGCUCUGGGAUAGCUCCGGGAAACCGGGAUUAAUACCGGAUACGACCACUUUAGACAUCUGUUGUGGUGGAAAGAAUUUUGGCUAGGGAUGAGCUCGCGGCCUAUCAGCUUGUUGGUGGGGUAAUGGCCUACCAAGGCGACGACGGGUAGCCGGCCUGAGAGGGCGACCGGCCACACUGGGACUGAGACACGGCCCAGACUCCUACGGGAGGCAGCAGUGGGGAAUAUUGCGCAAUGGGCGAAAGCCCGACGCAGCGACGCCGCGUGGGGGAUGAAGGCCUUCGGGUUGUAAACCCUUUCAGCAGGGACGAAGCGAAAGUGACGGUACCUGCAGAGAGCGCCGGCUAACUACGCGCCAGCAGCCGC